rnacentral:rRNA from 1 species
UGCGUAACGCGUAUGCAACCUACCUCUAACUGGGAGAUAGCCCGAAGAAAUUCGGAUUAAUACCCCAUAAUAUGUGUCUUUCGCAUGAUUGACAUAUUAAAGCUUUGGGGUUAGAGAUGGGCAUGCGUGACAUUAGCUAGUUGGUAAGGUAACGGCUUACCAAGGCUAUGAUGUCUAGGGGGUCUGAGAGGAUUAUCCCCCACACUGGUACUGAGACACGGACCAGACUCC